GACGAACGCUGGCGGCGUGCUUAACACAUGCAAGUCGAACGAAGUGGCGAACGGGUGAGUAACGCGUAAUCAACCUGCUCUUCAGAGGGGGACACCAGUUGGAAACGACUGCUAAUACCGCAUACUGAAGGAGGGGACUGCGUCGGCUUAGCUAGUUGGAGGGGUAACGGCCCACCAAGGCGAUGGUCAGGGGCCGGGCUGGAAGGGUGAACGGCCAAAUCGGGACUGGGGAACGGCCCAGACUCCUACGGGAGGGAGCAGGGGGGAAACUUGCGGAAAGGACGAAAGUCUGGCGAGGCAACGCCGGGUGAGUGAAGACGGCCUUUGGGUUGUAAAGCUCUGUUAGUCGGGACGCGGUACCGGAAUAGAAAGCCACGGCUAACUACGUGCCAGCCGCCGCGGUAAUUC
rnacentral:rRNA from 1 species